rnacentral:rRNA from 1 species
CUAUGCGCCUUGCCAGCCCGCUCAGGUGUGCCAGCAGCCGCGGUAAUACGUAGGGGGCAAGCGUUAUCCGGAUUUAUUGGGUUUAAAGGGUGCGUAGGCGGGAUGCCAAGUCAGCGGUAAAAAUGCGGUGCUCAACGCCGUCGAGCCGUUGAAACUGGCGUUCUUGAGUGGGCGAGAAGUAUGCGGAAUGCGUGGUGUAGCGGUGAAAUGCAUAGAUAUCACGCAGAACUCCGAUUGCGAAGGCAGCAUACCGGCGCCCUACUGACGCUGAGGCACGAAAGUGCGGGGGAUCGAACAGG